AACGCACAUUGCGCCCGCCAGUAUUCUGGCGGGCAUGCCUGUUCGAGCGUCAUUUCAACCCUCAAGCCCCCGGGCUUGGUGCUGGGGAUCGGCCGUCACGGGCCGGCCCCGAAAUCGAGUGGCGGUCUCGCUGUAGCCUCCUCUGCGUAGUAGCAACACCUCGCACUGGAACGCGGCGCGGCCACGCCGUAAAACCCCCCAACUUCUGAAGGUUGACCUCGGAUCAGGUAGGGAUACCCGCUGAACUUAA
rnacentral:misc_RNA from 1 species